ACCAGAGAAAAUUUUUGGAAUGUUUAUUGUUUCGCGACCAAUCAGAUGCGAGAUGAAACUGCAAAAGAUAACCGCCAAACCACAACAUGGAUUAGUCACGACUUGAUACGAAACAACGAGCUGGCUUUUUCCUCCACGACUAAUCUUCAAAAACCAAACUACUGAAUUCAGAAUAGACCUAGAACCAAGGGUAAAUUGUCAAAAUUUACAAUGAUACAAGUUUUCCUCCUUUGUCGGGUGAAGGCUUCUCAGCUACAAAAAAAUAUGGAUCGAAAAUCACCAAUCACAGCCAACUAGCAUGACCUUUUGAACUGCACAUAAACCAAACACUGGUCAGCAUCGCUUCUGAUUGGCGCUGUCUAGCCAUGUCAGAUCCUAUCUACUCAAUUCAACAUUGCUUUUCUGUAAUAUGUCACUAAUAUAUCGUUCAUAUCUAUUCUUGGCUUAUAAAUAAGCUGAAAUAGAAAAAGAACAAUUUCAGUAUUUGAAAAUGAUAAAAUUGAUGAUUUGUCGUGGAAGAAAAAGCCAGUUCAUUUUUUCAUGUCAAGUCGCAACUAAUCUAUGUUGCGGUUUGGCAGUUACCUUUUGCGGUUUCAUCUUGCAUCUGAUUGGUCACAAAACAAUAAACAUUCCAGAAAUUUUCUCUGGUGUUCACAGUUUUACAGGAAAAGCUGUAAGACAACAAGGCAUUCGGUGUUUUUGUGUCGCAGUGUUCAUUGUUCACAGCAGACUAAAUUAUUUUAGGCAGGAAAUGUUAAAAAAUAUAUAUAUAUGUCUCAUAACUGGUACUGUCCCAAGUUCAUUUACAUGACUGAACAACAGCAUCUGCUGUGAUCUGUUGAACAACAUGAAAUGGGGACCUACACUUCAGGUGCAGGAAAGAAGAGGUGGGGAAAGUUGUGCCCAUGGGGUGCAAUGGGCGCUGGCCAGAACUCAGUGUUCCUCGAGUACAACACUAGAUUACGUUACAUAUAUAUUGCAGCCACUUCAAGAAACAAAACUGUUCAUUACUUUCUUUAACUCAGCUUUAAAUGUAACAGUAACAUCGGAUAAAUUGAUACACAAAGGAUGCAAGGAAAGGUGCUUUACAACGUGUUCUUAUGUGUUUAUAGUUUUAGUAAUUUUGUGUUCCCAGUUUUGUUAAUCCAGCGUUUAGGAUUUUUUAUGCGUUAGUAAUUUUGUGUUGUGGGUUUUAGUAGUUUAAGUACAUGUAUUCUGGUAUUUCCCCGUUCCAGGUUACAGUCGAGCAAAUCCUUUAAAGGUGGAUUUCGACGCGAUGCGAACUUAAAUGGUUACUUUUAGCAGCUCAGACAGCAUGUUUUUUUUUUUAAAUAGAUGUUUUGGUUUUUGAAAGAAGUGGAGAAAUAGACCAAAAAAAAUCAAGCUGAUUGCUUUUGCUGUCUCUUACCAGAUAGAAAACAGAGAAGUAAGAAUAAAGUCUAUGUACUGAGACUUAUGAGGAAAGAAGCUCACUUUCAAACAUCAGAUCCCAUACAAGAGAAGCAACCAUAAAAGUAUGUGUUGAGACUUGAGAGGAGAAAGAAUCACAAUGGAGCAUUGGAUUCCAUAUUAAAUACAAAACGGAGAAGAAACAGUAAAAGCUAUUUGCCGAGACUCAAGAAGAAAAAGAAUCAAAUUAAGACUUUGGAUCCCUUAUUAGGCUGCCGUCUCAAGUGAACGUUCAGCGACAUUGACAUGGACAAAGUAAAGGAAAGCAAAAAACUUCGUUUAGAUGUUUCUUCAGUGGAUCACGUUUUAAAUGUAAGGUAGAUUUACAAGACAAAGUUUGAGUUUCUUGCGACAAGAUUGUUAGGGCGGAGCUCGUAUUAGUGAUUUCACAGCACAAAAUUUAAGAGUCAAAAGAAGACAUUGGAAUUAUUGUCAGAUUAGUGUCUUGUAUCUUGCCAGUUUUCGAGGAAGCAGUGAAUUGUAUUUCACGUUUGUAGAUUUAAAAUUAAGGUAGAAUGUUAGCUUUACCUGGAUUAGUUUUUCGCAGUCCGAAUUUUCAGCCUUGAAGUCUCGUCAUUAAACUCGUCGAAAUUACUGUCUAAUUGUCUGGUAUCUAUUUCACAAAUUUACUCACAUCUUUCUAUUUUCCGAGGACGCAUUAAAUUGAUGAAAAGGUUGCGCUUUUGAAAGGGCCAAGAAAAAAUAUCGAAAAAAAACUAAGUCUUUUAGUGAAAAAAAAUUGUCCUUAGAAAAAAAAGUCUGCAAUUUUACAUGGGGUCUGGUUUUGAGUCAAAAAUGUACCGAGUCUUUUGGCGUAAAAAAUCUUGCAGUAUGUAGGAUUUUUUUCCAUCAAAAGUCAAAGUAUACGCUUGAUUUCUGGCUAGACUCUGUUCAA
rnacentral:lncRNA from 1 species